GACGUAGGGCGCGAGCGUUGUCCGGAUUUAUUGGGCGUAAAGAGCUCGUAGGCGGCUUGUCGCGUCGUCCGUGAAAACCCGGGGCUCAACCCCGGGCUUGCGGUCGAUACGGGCAGGCUCGAGUUCGGUAGGGGAGACUGGAAUUCCUGGUGUAGCGGUGAAAUGCGCAGAUAUCAGGAGGAACACCAGUGGCGAAGGCAGGCUC
rnacentral:rRNA from 1 species